UACGUAGGGUGCAAGCGUUAUCCGGAAUUAUUGGGCGUAAAGAGCUCGUAGGUGGUUUGGUAAGUCGGAUGUGAAAUCUCCAGGCUCAACCUGGAGGGGUCAUUCGAUACUGCCAUGACUAGAGUUCGGUAGGGGAGUGUGGAAUUCCGUGGUGGAGCGGUGAAAUGCGCAGAUAUCAGGAGGAACACCCGUAGCGAAGGCGGCACUCUGGGCCGAUACUGACACUGAGGAGCGAAAGCGUGGGGAGCGAACAGG
rnacentral:rRNA from 1 species